AUUCACUUGGAACAACAAGAAAGUUGGUGCUGCUAAUAUCAAGGAGAGAAUUGAUAGAUCUAUGACAUAUUUGGCUACUAGAACAAGUUCCACAAACCCAGAAAGUAAUAACAAUUCCGAUCAUCACGAGAAUAAAUGGCUAAAUAGAAGCAAAACAACGUUUCCAACAAACAUGUUACUUCUCAAUGCACCAACGGAGUCGAAGUUUAAUUGGUCUGUGGGCUAGCAAGCCAACAGUUCAUGUCCCCACUACCAAAUCCACCUGCUUGGAUACAUAUGCCAUAAAGACGGACAGGGUUUAUUUAGUACACCAAAACAAAGAAAUGUGUUUGCCAAACACGUGAGCUGCUAAGAGAAAAGUGGAUAUGGCCAACUCCCCGCCAUAUGUCAGAAGGCACACUUCGUCCGUUGUCUUAUUUCUCAUCAAUAAUAUCAAUGUUCGAGCUGGUGGUUCUCUAAAAGAAAAAGGGUUUCAAGCAGCUGACAUUAUUCACUCGCAACCAAGUCUUCGUCAUCAUCUGUAAGCGAAGACAGUUUUGGAUAUUCAUGGAAGAUACUGUUGGGGGUUUGCUGUGUUCGAAUUUGGGUUGUUGUUGGACAAUAAAGUGACGAAGAAAGCUGUUAGAUGAAUUGGUUUCAUGGCUGUAAAUGAUGGGUUUGUGCUGAAACUUCGAUUGUGCAGGAAACGGUGAACUGGUGUUGCUGGCGACGAUUUCUGUAGUUGGUUGCACCUGAAGUUGCCUGCAAACUGUUAGUGUAAUUGCUUGAGUAAGAAUUGGAGUUCGAUGGGGUUUCUGUCCAAGUGAAGCUGCCGUUGUAUUCAAGGUGUCGAGGGUUCAAUUGGAUGAUUACUAGAAGACUUGUGUGCUUUGUGUUCUCGAACUGAUGGUGGUAGAAGUGAACAGCUGCAAAGAAGAUGGAUACGCAGAGUUAUCGGCAAUCGUUAGCAGCCAAUGGGUGGAGAGACAGGUUGAACUAAAAUUGUGCCGGAGUAAUGAAUGGCAGUGGAUUCUCUAUAAUGGUUUGGUUGUUUUGGGAUCAAGGGUUAGUGGUUGAGUUUUGCAGUUGAUGGAGGAUGAUUGCAAUCGGCAGUGGAGAAUGGUCUAUAUCACACGCUGGUGGGUUGCUGUUCUAAAUGGGUUCUUUAUAGAGCUCGGUUCUGAGAUGGACUUUGUGUGGUGGAUGAGAGCUGCAAAGAAGAUGGGUGACGAUAAUUACAGACGAAGAAGCUAAAGUCAGUGGUCGAAAAUGGAUUCAGUUUGAGGAUAAUUGGUUAAGCUUGUGCAACCAGCGAUGAUGAAACUCAGAAGACGAAUAAGAGCUUCGUAUGUUGGCUGAGAUAAGGUGCUGUGAAAGCAGUCAAGAAGGAAUGUUGAUUUGGGUGAUCUUGUGCCGAGAAUUGGUGGGCUUAUGCUCGAGGGAAGUAUGAUGGUGAGAGAAUCAAAAGAAGUUUGUUCGAAUGGAGGAUAGCAGUUGUGUUUACAGACGUGAAUGAGCGAAUUGGAGAUUGACUGCAGCAAUGGGGCGAAAUGGGAGCUGUGUUGUUGUCGAUUCAUGUUGCAGUAGCGAAGGUGGUGAUUGCAGACAGGAAAGAAGAAGCUGGUGCUGGUGAUCGACUGCACGGUAGUGGACUGUGUACGAGAAGGUUAAGCUGGGAAUUCAAAGACAAGGAGCAGGAUUUGUUGCCAUGGGUGUGCAGUCGGUGGUGAGAUGGUUUUGUGAUUGCUAGCUAUGGCACCCGAUUGGUGAUGAAUUUUAGCUGGCCAGCAGUGGAUCGAGCCGGAGUCUUGGCAGUUUGUUAGUGGAGAUAUUCGGUCAGUUAGUUAAAAAGAUCCGGGAGAUAUAUAUAGAAGUUAAAUAUAUGGAUGCAGAGGAGAUCGUGGAGCUAAUUGUUUAUACAUUGAAUGGAAAUUAUUUCUUUUGCUCGGAUAAGGAAAGUAAAUGAUUUCUGGCUUGAUUGUGGAAGCUAAUUGGAGGAGGAGUUACGGACAGUUUCUUUUGGUGUAUUUAGAGAGGAGCGGACUUCUUUGACAGGGAGGGCUGGAAGUCGGCCACAGUGCCGCAACUAGAGAUAGGGUUUGAAGUUUUGCUUAGAAUUCUAUCUUUUGAUUAGCAAGUGAUUUCUCUUUUAACAUGUUUAUGGUUUUUGAGAAAGUCAUGUCUUGCUAAUAGUUUUGUAACUAGGGUUCUUAUGGUUGAAGCUACUUGUGGUUUUAGGCUAUUUUUAAUUGAAUUGAAUUAUGAAGUAAUAGACCAUUAUGAUUUGAAUUGAUUAAUU